rnacentral:rRNA from 1 species
AUACGUAGGUGGCAAGCGUUGUCCGGAUUUAUUGGGCGUAAAGCGAGCGCAGGCGGUUCUUUAAGUCUGAUGUGAAAGCCCCCGGCUCAACCGGGGAGGGGCCUUGGAAACUGGAGGGCUUGAGGGCAGAAGAGGAGAGUGGAAUUCCCUGUGUAGCGGUGAAAUGCGUAGAUAUAUGGAGGAACACCAGUGGCGAAGGCGGCUCUCUGGUCUGUAACUGACGCUGAGGCUCGAAAGCGUGGGGAGCAAACAGGAUUAGAUACCCUGGUAGUCCACGCCGUAAACGAUGAGUGCUAAGUGUUGGAGGGUUUCCGCCCUUCAGUGCUGCAGCUAACGCAUUAAGCACUCCGCCUGGGGAGUACGGCCGCAAGGCUGAAACUCAAAUGAAUUGACGGGG